rnacentral:rRNA from 1 species
UCAACAUUGUUGAGAAGUGUAAUGAGGAUAAUUUACAAACCUUACCGAAAGCAAUUGGAGGGCAAGUCUGGUGCCAGCAGCCGCGGUAAUUCCAGCUCCAAAAGCGUAUAUUAAAGUUGUUGCAGUUAAAAAGCUCGUAGUUGAAGUUCUGGCUGUAUUGGGCCUCUGCACUUGAUGCGAAGGAACCAGCAGUCAUCCGCUUGCAAAUACAUGUUCUUCCUUAACCGGUAGACUGUAUAAGUAAGCAAUUUACCUUGAGAAAAACAGAGUGUUCCAGGCAGGUUUGUCCGGAAUGCAUUAGCAUGGAAUAAUAGAAUAUGACUAGAGUCGAUUUGUUGGUUAAAGGCUUUAGUAAUGAUUAAUAGGAACAAUCGGGGGCAUUGGUACUCGUCAGUCAGAGGUGAAAUUCUAAGAUUUGACGAAGACUAACUGAUGCGAAAGCGUUUGCCAAGAAUGUUUUCAUUAAUCUAAGAACG